rnacentral:rRNA from 1 species
AACGAACGCUGGCGGCAUGCCUAACACAUGCAAGUCGAACGGGACCUUCGUGUCUAGUGGCGCACGGGGGCGUAACGCGUGGGAACCUGCCCUUGGGUUCGGAAUAACUCCCCGAAGGGUGUGCUAAUACCGGUUAAUCUCUUCGGACCAAAGAUUUAUCGCCUUUGGAUGGGCCCGGGUUGGAUUAGCGAGUUGGUAGGGUAAAAGCCUACCAAGGCGACGAUCCAUAGCUGGUCUGAGAGGAUGAUCAGCCACACUGGGAAUGAGGCCCGGACCAGACUCCUACGGGAGGGAGCAGUGGGGAAUACUGGACGAUGGGCGAAAGUCUGAUAAAGCCAUGCCGGGUGAGUGAUGAAGGCCUUAGGGUUGUAAAGCUCUUUUACCCGGGAUGAUAAUGACAGUACCGGGAGAAUAAGCUCCGGCUAACUACGUG